UGAGCUUGUUUUCAUUGAGCCGCAGGU
rnacentral:piRNA from 1 species